UCAGGACGUGGCUGAGCUAGUUAAGCAUCUCCCUUACACCGAGAAGACAUCCA
rnacentral:tRNA from 1 species